CCCAGAACCCCGUCAUCCAACCCUAAUUCUGAGGCUGAUGUGUUGAGUGGCAGUCGUUCGACUCUUGCUCCUGUCUCUGUGCAGUGCUGUGCCUUUGUGUAGUUGUUCUGCUGUGUGGUGGUAUGCAAGCCAGGAGUAAUUCAUGCAGUACUGGGGCUGUAUGCGCCUAGGGCCAUCUUUCCUGGGUGCCCUUAAAUUGGCCAUGAAAAUUUUACCCAAGAGAGCGACCAAGUGGAUUGAGCUUUUACCUUGUACUGAUGAGGUAUUAGUCAAGUUGAAUGCGGGGGCACUUCUGUUUACAUUUUGAUGCUAAAACCUGAAGAUAGGUGGGGGGCAGCUGCAAGGCCGUCAGAUAACAGACGGCAGAGCAAUACUUAACAGUCCAUUUGAAGCAGAGUGAGUGUAGCUGGUGAGGAGUACAGACAACCCCAACGUUACCAUCAGCUGAACCAUGGCAACUAUGAUGGAGGUUUUGCCUGUUGCAGGGGGGAUAAUACAACUGGGUAAUUCAUGUAUGUAUUAAUGCCUCGAGCAUUAACCCUUAGAUGACGGCUCAUGCCACUUGACAAUUUUUACAAUAGAAAUUUAUGAUAAAUGGAUUCUGCUUAGAAACCCUUAUAGUUAUCAUGAUCAGACAUUUCUCUGGCAAUUAUUACUUAAAAUAAAAAGUCUUAUUAUUAUAUGUAACAAAAUUUAUUUAUUGGGAGAGUUUAGAAACUUUUGGAGCAUGUGGCACAAUCACACCCAAAAAUAUUUAUUAUAAGUAAUAAGAU